UAUAGCCUUGCGAAGUUUGCCGUUUUUCAGUCAUUUUGUAUUACGCACGGGAAAUUGACAGCCCAGUCGGGUGUUGGGGCAUCAAUUUCCCGUUUGUAAUGCAAAAUGACUGAAAAUUGCAAAUUUCGCAGGGCUAUAUUAUCCACAUUUGACAACAUUUCGCAACGAAACCUCGGAAGAUUACUAAUUUUGUGAUGCUCUUUCAAGCUGUGAUGAAA